rnacentral:rRNA from 1 species
GUCAGGUUGAGGCGGGCUGGACCUCUCGGGGUUACGCCUUGCUGAUUAUUCCCCUUGUCUUUUGCGUACUUCUUGUUUCCUUGGUGGGUUCGCCCACCACUAGCCACAAACAUAAACCUUUUGUAAUUGCAAUCCUCGUCUGUAACAAAUUAAUAAUUACAACUUUCAACAACGGAUCUCUUGGUUCUGGCAUCGAUGAAGAACGCACCGAAAUGCGAUAAAUAGUGUGAAUUGCAGAAUUCAGUGAAUCAUCGAAUCUUUGAACGCACAUUGCGCCCUUUGGUAUUCCAAAGGGCAUGCCUGUUCGAGCGUCAUUUGUACCCUCAAACUUUGCUUGGUGUUGGGCGUCUUGUCUCUUGCUUUGCUGGAAACUCCCCUUAAAGUAAUUGGCAGCCCGCCUACUGGUUUCGGAGCGCAGCACAAGUCCCACUCUCUAUCAGCAAAGGUCUAGCACCCUUUAAGCCUUUUUUUCAACUUUUGACCUCGGAUCAUGUAGGGAUACCCGCUCAACUUAAGCAUAUCGAACCCCGGAGGAAACUUGAACAUAUCAUAGGCAGGAGGAAAG